AACGAACGCUGGCGGCAGGCCUAACACAUGCAAGUCGAGCGAAGCCUUCGGGCUUAGCGGCGGACGGGUGAGUAACGCGUGGGAACGUGCCCUUUGGUACGGAAUAGCCCCGGGAAACUGGGAGUAAUACCGUAUGUGGUCGAGAGACGAAAGAUUUAUCGCCAAAGGAUCGGCCCGCGUUGGAUUAGGUAGUUGGUGGGGUAAUGGCCUACCAAGCCGACGAUCCAUAGCUGGUUUGAGAGGAUGAUCAGCCACACUGGGACUGAGACACGGCCCAGACUCCUACGGGAGGCAGCAGUGGGGAAUCUUAGACAAUGGGGGAAACCCUGAUCUAGCCAUGCCGCGUGAUCGAUGAAGGCCUUAGGGUUGUAAAGAUCUUUCAGUGGGGAAGAUAAUGACUGUACCCACAGAAGAAGUCCCGGCUAACUCCGUGCCAGCCGCCGCAGUAAGAC
rnacentral:rRNA from 1 species